UACGGAGGAUGCAAGCGUUAUCCGGAUUUAUUGGGUUUAAAGGGUGCGCAGGCGGACUAAUAAGUCAGUGGUGAAAUUUACAUGCUCAACAUGUAGCGUGCCAUUGAUACUGUUGGACUAGUAUACAAAUGACGUAGCUGGAAUGUGUUAUGUAGCGGUGAAAUGCAUAGAUAUAACACAGAACACCGAUCGUGAAGACAGGUUACGAAUUUGUUAUAGACGCUCAUGCACGAAAGCGUGGGGAUCAAACA
rnacentral:rRNA from 1 species